UUUGAUCAUGGCUCAGAUUGAACGCUGGCGGCAUGCUUUACACAUGCAAGUCGGACGGCAGCGGGGGUGCUUGCACCUGCCGGCGAGUGGCGAACGGGUGAGUAACAUAUUGGAAUGUACCGAGUAGUGGGGGAUAACCAAUCGAAAGAUUGGCUAAUACCGCAUACGUCCUGAGGGGGAAAGCAGGGGAUCUUCGGACCUUGCGCUAUUUGAGCAGCCAAUAUCUGAUUAGCUAGUUGGUGGGGUAAGGGCCCACCAAGGCGACGAUCAGUAGCGGGUCUGAGAGGAUGAUCCGCCACACUGGGACCGAGACACGGCCCAGACUCCUACGGGAGGCAGCAGUGGGGAAUCUUCCGCAAUGGACGAAAGUCUGACGGAGCAACGCCGCGUGAGUGAUGACGGCCUUCGGGUUGUAAAGCUCUGUUAAUCGGGACGAAAGGCCUUCUUGCGAAUAGUGAGAAGGAUUGACGGUACCGGAAUAGAAAGCCACGGCUAACUACGUGCCAGCAGCCGCGGUAAUACGUAGGUGGCAAGCGUUGUCCGGAAUUAUUGGGCGUAAAGCGCGCGCAGGCGGAUCAGUCAGUCUGUCUUAAAAGUUCGGGGCUUAACCCCGUGAUGGGAUGGAAACUGCUGAUCUAGAGUAUCGGAGAGGAAAGUGGAAUUCCUAGUGUAGCGGUGAAAUGCGUAGAUAUUAGGAAGAACACCAGUGGCGAAGGCGACUUUCUGGACGAAAACUGACGCUGAGGCGCGAAAGCCAGGGGAGCGAACGGGAUUAGAUACCCCGGUAGUCCUGGCCGUAAACGAUGGGUACUAGGUGUAGGAGGUAUCGACCCCUUCUGUGCCGGAGUUAACGCAAUAAGUACCCCGCCUGGGGAGUACGACCGCAAGGUUGAAACUCAAAGGAAUUGACGGGGGCCCGCACAAGCGGUGGAGUAUGUGGUUUAAUUCGACGCAACGCGAAGAACCUUACCAGGUCUUGACAUUGAUGGACAGAACCAGAGAUGGUUCCUCUUCUUCGGAAGCCAGAAAACAGGUGGUGCACGGUUGUCGUCAGCUCGUGUCGUGAGAUGUUGGGUUAAGUCCCGCAACGAGCGCAACCCCUAUCUUAUGUUGCCAGCACGUAAAGGUGGGAACUCAUGAGAGACUGCCGCAGACAAUGCGGAGGAAGGCGGGGAUGACGUCAAAUCAUCAUGCCCCUUAUGACCUGGGCUACACACGUACUACAAUGGGAGUUAAUAGACGGAAGCGAGAUCGCGAGAUGGAGCAAACCCGAGAAACACUUUCUCAGUUCGGAUCGUAGGCUGCAACUCGCCUACGUGAAGUCGGAAUCGCUAGUAAUCGCAGGUCAGCAUACUGCGGUGAAUACGUUCCCGGGCCUUGUACACACCGCCCGUC
rnacentral:rRNA from 1 species